ACAACCAAUGCUAGGAAACCGUUAGAGAAUUAGAGGAAGAGAUUUGACCGUAAUGUAUUUAUAGAGAUUGAAUAGAUGCAAAGAAUAGGUAUUCUAAUUCUCUAUUAACGCUAUGAUUAGAUCUUUAUGUGCUGUUACCACUUAAAAACAUUCAAGUUAGGCAUAGGCAUGCUUACAUUUUCUGUCCUGUUCUCUUGCUUUCUUUGUUUCUUUCUUUUUCUUCUUUAAAGAGAAAAUAAAAAGGAGCAACAUUUGGAUUAGUGAAAGAGAAUGGUUGUGCGUCUUGUGCCUAUUUUGGAGCACCAUUUUAUAUAGUCGGUCAUAACUGUUAUGGACAAUUGGCAUCUUUGGAAACACGUCAAUGUUUAUCGCUUAUUCUAUACAUGUAUACUUGCUUAGUUUACAUGUUAAAAUGAUUUAUGCGCUUUAGGUAACUCGUGGAAUGAUUUGUUUGGCUGGUUUGCAUAACAUAAGUUAUUACUCUCUGUUAUUACUUUUUUAUUACCGUGUCGGCAAUUAGAGGUGUUAUUUGGGCUAUGCGUGCCAAUGCCCAGGGCUCAUUGCCAUGAUUUGUUGUGCUGUGUGGGUCUUGACAAGGUUGCUACCAUCCUUUGCUAGGCUUGGCUGUCUAUUUGUUUACCUUUUUUGAAUUUUUAUUUAAGCUACUGACUAAAAUGGAAAAUUGGUAUGCCAUGCUUUUCCAGCCUGUAACUGCUCUAAAUAGACUAUAUUGCUGAAUAAAAUGUUGGACCAUGGAGUUAUUAGUAUUGAAACCAAUACUGUGGACAUUUGGUGCACAAAUUUUAUAUUGUAAUCCUGUCUAAAAAGUUUCUUCAUAUCACCUUCCUCAAAAAUUGUAAAUCAGUUCCUUAAUGCAGAAGAGACCGCUUCUUUUCCAUUACUGUUUCACCUGUGGACCUUCUGUGUCCUGUUAAACUUAUAAACCCUUAAACUUACCGCAUAGGAUUGUAAAAGACUUGAGCCAAAAAUUCAAUUGCCUUUUCAGAUUAAUGAUAUUAAUUCUUGAACCUGUAUGAUAUGCCAUCUGGUUACAUGGUAUUAUUAUGACAGGAGGUGACAAUGCCACCUGUAUGAUUCCUGAAUCAUUUUGCUAGAAUUGAGGAAAUAGUAUUAGUAUGACAGGAAGAAAAUGGUGAUUGUGAUGCCAAAUAGGUGGAACUUUGAUACAAGGAGAGUAGCACAGCAAUCAUACUUAUAUGCUGUUUGAGACCAACUAUUCAUGACCAUGUCUAUCUUUUCGUCACGUAAAGGCAGUGUUUUUGGCAUUAAUAGAUGGAUGGAUACUUACCUUUUAAAGAUGCAGAUAUUUAGAAUCUAAAUGUCAGCAUAUAAAUUAAUAUGCCAUUUAUUUUCUAUACAUUUUCUCAUUUUCUUUAGAGCACAAUAAAUAUAGUAAGCUUCAGAGUGAUGCCCUCAGAGAAGCUAUUUCAACCAUUUUGACUCAGUCCAAGGAGCGACAGCAUAAGUUUACUGAAACCAUUGAGCUGCAGAUUGAGUUGAAAAACGAUGAUCCCCAAAAAGCAAGCGUUUCAGUGGUUCCAUGAAGCUGCCACACAUUCGUUGCCCUAAGAUGAAGAUCUGCAUGCUUGGAGAUGCUCAACAUGUUGAAGAGGCAGAGAAGACAGGCUAGGAUUAUAUGGACGUGGAAGCACUGAAGAAGCUAAACAAGAACGAGAAGUUGGUGAAGAAGCUUGCCUAGAAGUAUCAUUCCUUUUUGGCUUCUGAAUCUGUCAUCAAGCAGAUCCCUCAUCUCUUUGGUCCUG